rnacentral:pre_miRNA from 1 species
GGAUUUGGAGGCCUGAGGCCCUCCCUGCUGCUGGAAAUGUGUUUGCAUGGGCUGGGCUUAUCUUUGAAAGG